rnacentral:rRNA from 1 species
GAAAGGACGGGUAAUACCGGAUACCCCGGGGUGCCGCAUGGCACCCCGGCUAAAGCCCCGACGGGAGGGGAUGGCUCCGCGGCCCAUCAGGUAGACGGCGGGGUGACGGCCCACCGUGCCGACAACGGGUAGCCGGGUUGAGAGACCGACCGGCCAGAUUGGGACUGAGACACGGCCCAGACUCCUACGGGAGGCAGCAGUGGGGAAUCUUGCGCAAUGGGGGGAACCCUGACGCAGCGACGCCGCGUGCGGGACGGAGGCCUUCGGGUCGUAAACCGCUUUCAGCAGGGAAGAGUCAAGACUGUACCUGCAGAAGAAGCCCCGGCUAACUACGUGCCAGCAGCCGCGGUAAUACGUAGGGGGCGAGCGUUAUCCGGAUUCAUUGGGCGUAAAGCGCGCGUAGGCGGCCCGGCAGGCCGGGGGUCGAAGCGGGGGGCUCAACCCCCCGAAGCCCCCGGAACCUCCGCGGCUUGGGUCCGGUAGGGGAGGGUGGAACACCCGGUGUAGCGGUGGAAUGCGCAGAUAUCGGGUGGAACACCGGUGGCGAAGGCGGCCCUCUGGGCCGAGACCGACGCUGAGGCGCGAAAGCUGGGGGAGCGAACAGGAUUAGAUACCCUGGUAGUCCCAGCCGUAAACGAUAGACGCUAGGUGUGGGGGGACGAUCCCCCCGUGCC